rnacentral:rRNA from 1 species
AAUACCGCAUAACAACUUGGACCGCAUGGUCCGAGUUUGAAAGAUGGCUUCGGCUAUCACUUCUGGAUGGUCCCGCGGCGUAUUAGCUAGAUGGUGAGGUAACGGCUCACCAUGGCAAUGAUACGUAGCCGACCUGAGAGGGUAAUCGGCCACAUUGGGACUGAGACACGGCCCAAACUCCUACGGGAGGCAGCAGUAGGGAAUCUUCCACAAUGGACGAAAGUCUGAUGGAGCAACGCCGCGUGAGUGAAGAAGGGUUUCGGCUCGUAAAACUCUGUUGUUAAAGAAGAACAUAUCUGAGAGUAACUGUUCAGGUAUUGACGGUAUUUAACCAGAAAGCCACGGCUAACUACGUGCCAGCAGCCGCGGUAAUACGUAGGUGGCAAGCGUUGUCCGGAUUUAUUGGGCGUAAAGCGAGCGCAGGCGGUUUUUUAAGUCUGAUGUGAAAGCCUUCGGCUCAACCGAAGAAGUGCAUCGGAAACUGGGAA